UUUCAGCGAGCCCAGCCACAGCGGUCGGUCGUCGGGACGCUCCCGACCGUAGGUCGCCAGCAGGGCCUGUGCCUC
rnacentral:antisense_RNA from 1 species